UGCUGGCAAAUACUCCACAACUUUCUUCAUGGUGACGUUUGCAGCCCUUUACAGCACUCACAAAGAACGAGGUCACUCGGACACUAUGGUGUUCUUUUACCUGUGGAUUGUCUUUUAUAUCAUCAGUUCCUGCUAUACCCUCAUCUGGGAUCUCAAGAUGGACUGGGGUCUCUUUGAUAAGAAUGCUGGAGAGAACACUUUCCUCCGGGAAGAGAUUGUAUACCCCCAAAAAGCCUACUACUACUGUGCCAUAAUAGAGGAUGUGAUUCUGCGCUUUGCUUGGACUAUCCAAAUCUCGAUUACCUCUACAACUUUGUUGCCUCAUUCUGGGGACAUCAUUGCUACUGUCUUUGCCCCCCUUGAGGUUUUCCGGUAAGCAAACUACUGAAAAGUUUAUUAAAGAUUCUUUUUAACCUAAAAGACACCCAAUACUUACAAAUUAGAAUUUAUUAUAACUUGUACUUGAAAACCUUUAAUUUUCCAAC
rnacentral:sRNA from 1 species